rnacentral:lncRNA from 10 species
ACUGCUGUGCUAGCAAUCAGCGAGACUCCGUGGGCGUAGGACCCUCCGAGCCAGCUGGGUGCGGUGGCUCAGGACUGUAAUUCCAGCUACAUGAGAGGAUUGCCUGAGGCCAGGAGUUUGAGACCAGCCUGAACAACAUAAUAGACUGGGAGCUCCAUGAGGUCCGAGACAACCUGAAGACGCCCAGCUCAGCAGAGACUGGCUACGGCAAUCACUCAGUAACUAUUUGUUGAAUUGGACAUAAUAGAAGAGCUGAAGAAUUUUAAACAAGUCACCAUCAGUGCAGUGGAUUCCUCAAAGCAAACCUGGAAAUCUCGGCAUGAGUUGGAUUUAAGGCAGUACAUUUUCAGCUCCUGAAAAUUUGAACAGUUUCUCAAGAGAACAACUUGAAACAGAAAGGCAAGGAUGUAGAUGUGGUUGUAGAAGAUGAUGUCUGCGGCCACCAAACUGUCCACUGUGAAGACAAACCAUGCAUGUUUAGUAGGCAGUGGCUCCUCUUCCCUGUGGGGAGUCCCACUGCUUCCCUGGCCUGGGUGUUCUCUGCCGGUAGAUGUUAUUGACAAAAUAAGCAAAGUCCUCUGAUUCUGAGAAUUAGAGUUAAUGAUAGCUCUAGAUUGCCUCUGCCAUGCUAUUUAAAGUCCUGCUUUAUUGUCUGACAUGAGUUCGGCAUCUAUGAGGACUUGUCCAGUGCAAAGUACAAUCUCCACUGAAAGAUAUCACCAGCACAUCUUGUCACUGUGCUGUAGCAAGCUGGGCAGUACAAUGAUGUUGGCAGGAUCCUGUUUAGGUGGAGGAUGGCCACCUGGGCAUCAAGAAUCUUCUACCCUGAUUCCACAUUGACUCCCCAAAGUGGGCUUCAGACAGCUCUUUACUUACGUCUUCUGAUUAAAGCAGCAGACAGGGUCCCAGCUAGAGAAAAGUUCUGGGAGCAGGAGAGGUGUUGGUGGCUUUAAAACCAGGGGUGAAGAUUGAAUUAGGAGGUUAGGCAGGAGUAGGAUCAAAGACUUAGAAAAUGCUUGUUUCCUCCUAUUAUUCUUAUGAGAGCUGAUACGGGGCUUUCAGUUUUGGGGGAGAGCCUUGGAAGAGAAUGAGGGAAUUUAAUCAACUAGCGGGACCUUUCCAACUUACAUUUCCCAGUGUUUGUUGGAUGAUACGUUUGCCUAAUAAGUUAAAGCUUCCAAAAAUAGAAAGGAAAGCUUGGUGACACUAAGCUCUGGCAUGCUGUCAUCUUCUGGCUAGGGGUCUUGUGCUUCUGUUUUUCUAUUUCUGACCAAAGACAUAAAAUGUGUUGUGACCUCUCAGGUAAUGCUGUGGUAUCAUGUCCAAGCAGUAACUAACCAGAGUGGAGUUUUUACAGGUAAAAAAGUAUUGAAUAGCUCAGCAACAGGGAGGACUUAAUGAUAAAUUGCUUUUUCAGAAAAUGACAAGGGGACAGACACUUGCGGUUCUUCCAUUGAGAGCCUUAAGGAAGUUAAGCGAAGCCUCUGCUCACCCCUUCAAGUAACGAUGACCCAUCAGAUCGUGGUCAUAACCAGUAGCAUCUGAGGCACCCCUAAGCUCUCUGGGCCCCAGAUUCCUUGUUAAGUUAAAUGAGGUGACUUCCCAGUUUACCAUUCUAGGGGUUCCUGAGGAGUUAAAAAUGAAGGAGAAAAUGCAACAUGUACCAAGUGAGCAAGAGCUCAAGGCUUAUCUCUGGCACGAAAGUGACCGCUGUCCGUUAGAGAUGUGAUUGCCCUAGAUUUCCUUUAGGAAAUGCAAACAUUGAACUCUGGCCUUCAGGACCCAAGUCCCGGCUUGCAUCUAUUCUAUACACUUUCUGUUAUUUGUUAGGGCUCACAAGGAACAGUUAUUUAUCUUUUAUUUUCUAUUUUUUUUUUAGAGAUGGAGUCUCACUCUGUCUCCCAGGCUGGAGUGCAGUGGUGCCAUCUCAGCUCACUGCAACCUCCACCUCCCGGGUUCAAGCAAUUCUCCUGUCUCAGCCUCCUGAGUAGCUGGGACUACAGGCGUGUGCCAUCAUGCCCGGCUAAUUUUUAGUAUUUUUAGUAGAGGCAGGGUUUCACCAUAUUGGCCAGGCUGGUCUUGAACUCCUG